AUUGAACGCUGGCGGCAGGCCUAACACAUGCAAGUCGAACGAGUGGCGGACGGGUGAGUAAUGUCUGGGAAACUGCCUGAUGGAGGGGGAUAACUACUGGAAACGGUAGCUAAUACCGCAUACCAUCGGAUGUGCCCAGAUGGGAUUAGCUAGUAGGUGGGGUAACGGCUCACCUAGGCGACGAUCCCUAGCUGGUCUGAGAGGAUGACCGGCCACGCGGGAACGUAAACACGGGCCAGCUCCCAACGGGGGGCAGCGGUGGGAAGUAUGGCACAAUGGGCGAAGGCCUGAAACAGCCAGGCCGCGUGUAGGAAGAAGGCCUUCGGGUUGAAAAGUACUUUCAGCGGGGAGGCGUUACCCCCAGAAGAAGCACCGGCUAACUCCGUGCCAGCAGCCGCGGUAAUU
rnacentral:rRNA from 1 species